CUGGAGACUAAGGAAGUAGAGUCCUUGAAAUCAAGCUGACUCUGCCCUUAGCCUCCUAUGUGACAAGGUAGAUAGAACAGGUCUUGGUGCGAGAUAAAUUCAAGACCUACUUCUCUGCCAACAGCA
rnacentral:tRNA from 12 species